AAUAAAUACAGUUUUACAUUGUUCAUAUCCAACGUUUGACCAUUUGUUUUAUUUAAAAAAUAUAUAACUAGUAUUUCUAUUAUUAUUAAAUGAUAAAAUAUAAAUAGUAAUUUAUGUGUGACUAAUUUUUUUUAAAAAAAUCAUACAUUUUUUAAAUAAGACGGACGGUCAAAUGUUGGACACGGAUACUCACGGGUGCACUUAUU
rfam:Oryza meridionalis cultivar OR44 (W2112) chromosome 4, whole genome shotgun sequence.